rnacentral:rRNA from 1 species
GACGAACGCUGGCGGCGUGCUUAACACAUGCAAGUCGAGCGGAAAGGCCACUUCGGUGGUACUCGAGCGGCGAACGGGUGAGUAACACGUGAGUAAUCUGCCCCUGGCUUUGGGAUAGCCACCGGAAACGGUGAUUAAUACCGGAUACGACCACUUCUCGCAUGGGAUGGUGGUGGAAAGUUUUUUCGGCCAGGGAUGUGCUCGCGGCCUAUCAGCUUGAUGGUGAGGUAAUGGCUCACCAUGGCUUCGACGGGUAGCCGGCCUGAGAGGGUGACCGGUCACACUGGGACUGAGACACGGCCCAGACUCCUACGGGAGGCAGCAGUGGGGAAUAUUGGACAAUGGGCGGAAGCCUGAUCCAGCAACGCCGCGUGAGGGAUGGCGGCCUUCGGGUUGUAAACCUCUUUCAGCAGGGACGAAGCGCAAGUGUCGGUACCUGCAGAAGAAGCACCGGCCAACUACGUGCCAGCCGCCGCAGUAA